GUCUAUGGCCAUGCUACCCUGAACAAGCCUGAUCCCACCUGAUCUCAGAAGCUAAGCAGGGUCAGGCCUGGUUAGUACUUGGAUGGGAGACCACCUAGGAAGACCAGGUGCUACAGGCA
rnacentral:rRNA from 1 species